rnacentral:rRNA from 1 species
CAGCCGCCGCGGUAGUACGAAGGGUGCAAGCGUUAAUCGGAAUUACUGGGCGUAAAGCGUGCGUAGGCGGUGAGUUAAGUCUGCUGUGAAAUCCCCGGGCUCAACCUGGGAAUGGCAGUGGAUACUGGCUCGCUAGAGUGUGUCAGAGGAUGGUGGAAUUCCCGGUGUAGCGGUGAAAUGCGUAGAGAUCGGGAGGAACAUCAGUGGCGAAGGCGGCCAUCUGGGACAACACUGACGCUGAGGCACGAAAGCGUGGGGAGCAAACAGGAUUAGAUACCCCCGUAGUCCCUGUCUCUUAUAC